rnacentral:lncRNA from 1 species
CUCAAGCAGAAUACUGAUACACUAACAUAUCUACUCAAGGAGUCUUUCUAUAAAGAGAUGUAAAAGCAGUGGCAUUGCAAUCAACAUGUUAACAGCUACUUCAGAGAAGCCAUUAGUCCCUGAGUUGCGGAGACACUUCUACUUCUUCUGGCCAUUUAAGUGACCACACCAUCUUACUGAUAUCCCAAAGUUCCCAAAAAAUUAAGCUUGAUAUAAACUUGAAACCUGGUAGAUUUU